rnacentral:rRNA from 1 species
GACGAACGCUGGCGGCGUGCUUAACACAUGCAAGUCGAACGGAAAGGCCCUGCUUUUGUGGGUUGCUCGAUUGGCGAACGGGUGAGUAACACGUGAGUAACCUGCCCUUGACUUUGGGAUAACUUCAGGAAACUGGGGCUAAUACCGGAUAGGAGCUCCUGCUGCGUGGUGGGGGUUGGAAAGUUUCGGCGGUUGGGGAUGGACUCGCGGCUUAUCCGCUGGUUGGUGUGGUAGUGGCUUACCAAGGCUUUGACGGGUAGCCGGCCUGAGAGGGUGAACGGGCACAUGGGGCCUGAGAUACGGCCCAGAAUCCUACGGGAGGCAGUAGUGGGGAGCAUGGCACAGUGGGCGGAAGCCUGAUGAAGAGACGCCGGGUGCGGGAUGACGGGUUUCGGGUUGUAAACCGCUUUCGCCUGUGACGAAGCGGGAGUGACGGUAAUGGGUAAAGAAGCACCGGCUAACUACGUG